AACGAACGCUGGCGGUAGGCUUAACACAUGCAAGUCGAGCGCCCCGCAAGGGGAGCGGCAGACGGGUGAGUAACGCGUGGGAAUCUACCCAUCUCUACGGAAUAACGCAUGGAAACGUGUGCUAAUACCGUAUACGUCCUUCGGGAGAAAGAUUUAUCGGAGAUGGAUGAGCCCGCGUUGGAUUAGCUAGUUGGUGGGGUAAAGGCCUACCAAGGCGACGAUCCAUAGCUGGUCUGAGAGGAUGAUCAGCCACACUGGGACUGAGACACGGCCCAGACUCCUACGGGAGGCAGCAGUGGGGAAGAUUGGACAAUGGGCGCAAGCCUGAUCCAGCCAUGCCGCGUGAGUGAUGAAGGCCCUAGGGUUGUAAAGCUCUUUCACCGGUGAAGAUAAUGACGGUAACCGGAGAAGAAGCCCCGGCUAACUUCGUGCAGCCGCCGCCGUAACAC
rnacentral:rRNA from 1 species